UACGUAGGGGGCAAGCGUUGUCCGGAAUCAUUGGGCGUAAAGAGCGUGUAGGCGGCCUGGUAAGUCCGCUGUGAAAGUCCAGGGCUCAACCCUGGAAUGCCGGUGGAAACUGUCAGGCUCGAGUCCGGAAGAGGCGAGUGGAAUUCCUGGUGUAGCGGUGAAAUGCGCAGAUAUCAGGAGGAACACCAAUGGCGAAGGCAGCUCGCUGGGACGGUAUUGACGCUGAGACGCGAAAGCGUGGGGAGCAAACAGG
rnacentral:rRNA from 1 species